rnacentral:rRNA from 1 species
CAAUCUGCCUAUUAGAGGGGGAUAACAGUGAGAAAUCACUGCUAAUACCGCAUAAGCUGUGAAUAUCGCAUGAUAUAAAUAGAAAAGGAGUAAUCCACUGAUAGAUGAGCUUGCGUCUGAUUAGUUAGUUGGUGAGGUAACGGCCCACCAAGACGAUGAUCAGUAGCCGGACUGAGAGGUUAAACGGCCACAUUGGGACUGAGAUACGGCCCAGACUCCUACGGAAGGCAGCAG